rnacentral:rRNA from 1 species
GAUGAACGCUAGCGAUAGGCUUAACACAUGCAAGUCGAGGGGCAGCAUGGUCUUAGCUUGCUAAGACUGAUGGCGACCGGCGCACGGGUGCGUAACGCGUAUGCAACUUGCCUCACAGAGGGGGAUAACCCGUCGAAAGACGGACUAAUACCGCAUACACUUGGGAUAGGGCAUCCUGACCCAAGGAAAUGAAAUUCGCUGUGAGAUAGGCAUGCGUCCCAUUAGCUAGUUGGUGAGGUAACGGCUCACCAAGGCGACGAUGGGUAGGGGAACUGAGAGGUUGAACCCCCACACUGGUACUGAGACACGGACCAGACUCCUACGGGAGGCAGCAGUGAGGAAUAUUGGUCAAUGGGCGAGAGCCUGAACCAGCCAAGUCGCGUGAAGGAUGACUGUCUUAUGGAUUGUAAACUUCUUUUAUACGGGAAUAACAAGAGUCACGUGUGGCUCCCUGCAUGUACCGUAUGAAUAAGCAUCGGCUAACUCCGUG